CAGCAGUAGCCGCGGUAAUACCGAGGGUGCGAGCGUUAAUCGGAUUUACUGGGCGUAAAGCGUGCGUAGGCGGCUUUUUAAGUCGGAUGUGAAAUCCCUGAGCUUAACUUAGGAAUUGCAUUCGAUACUGGGAAGCUAGAGUAUGGGAGAGGAUGGUAGAAUUCCAGGUGUAGCGGUGAAAUGCGUAGAGAUCUGGAGGAAUACCGAUGGCGAAGGCAGCCAUCUGGCCUAAUACUGACGCUGAGGUACGAAAGCAUGGGGAGCAAACAGGAUUAGAUACCCCGGUAGUCCUGUCUCUUAUACA
rnacentral:rRNA from 1 species